UACGGGGGGAGCAAGCGUUGUUCGGAUUUACUGGGCGUAAAGGGCGCGUAGGCGGCGCAACAAGUCACUUGUGAAAUCUCCGGGCUUAACUCAGAACGGCCAAGUGAUACUGCAGUGCUAGAGUGCAGAAGGGGCAAUCGGAAUUCUUGGUGUAGCGGUGAAAUGCGUAGAUAUCAAGAGGAACACCUGAGGUGAAGACGGGUUGCUGGGCUGACACUGACGCUGAGUGCGCGAAAGCCAGGGGAGCAAACGGG
rnacentral:rRNA from 1 species